rnacentral:lncRNA from 1 species
GAUGAUGAAAAGUUCUGUGAUGAUCAUGAUGUUGGCACAAGAUGACAGUGAAGACAGUGACGAUGAUGCCGUAGAUAAUGAUAGUGAAGAUGACAGCAAUGAAGGUGAUUUGUUGGAGCCAUCUUCUCAAACAGAGACAGAAGAAGAACCAAUGAUGGUGGACAAAACAGUUUCAAGUGAUACAGAGCCAGAGGAUGAAAAUGUGACAUAUGAUAAAAGGUGUGCAAAUAGUGAAUGCAAUCAUUAAAAAGUACUUUUAAAAUGUUUUUGGGCAGUAUAUACUGUACAAAGUGUUGUGUUUAUUUAAUUAAAUGAAUAAUAUUCUUAACUUUAUUCUUAUAGCAUUUUUGCUAAUAAUGAAA